UGCGAUCAUCUGAGCGCACAGAACGUCUGCUUGAACACCAGACCCGGAGUGAAGUGCGUUUGGGACCACAAGAAUGGAAGGUGCAUCAACAUCAACAAUUCAGUAGUGCCGAUUCCAUCAUCCUCUGUUGCCCGGAAAUGAAAUUUUCCUAUAUUGGUCGCAAGUUCUUCGAGGAUAUGGAGAUUUGCAGCGAGAUCGAGGAUUGCGCCAUCUGCGUUUCCACAACCAGAAAAUGUGUCUGGUGCAAGACGGCGUGCGCCUAUGAUUCGUGCAAGGAUUCAAAGGAUCUCCCUAUUUUCUCAUGCCCGAUAGAUGCGCGACCGAUGUGCGAUAAGUUGCAUACAUGUAAAGCAUGCAGCGCUCAAACUUACUAUUGUAAUGGUCUUAUGAGACCGCUAAAUGCUCGACGUAUACUCCGCCAACUACCGGAAACAAUCAGACCGAUGUGAUGGUUAUAGAUCAGGGACAGCAGUGUCCUCGAUUCUGCUCAGAGUACAGCUCUUGGGGGACGCACUGCGAACGCUGCGUCCAAGUGUAUUGGGGUUCGGACGGAGGACAAUGCCAGCCGCACGAAUGCAACGGACAAGCAACCCAAUGCCAUCCCGAGAGCGGGAGGUGCUAGUGCACCACCAAAGGUCGGAGAUCACUGCGAGAAGUGCGACCUAGCGAAUCACUGCUUCAUAAGAUCCCAUAAACAAAGGAUUCUGCUACUGAAAAUGAUCUCACAAUCGAUUACCAGUUCACGUUCAAUCUGUCCAAGAAGGAGAACCCUCACUACACGCAGAUCAACUGCCGGAAUUCGGUAUCCCCUCUGGAUACAGAUUUCGUUCUCGCAACCUCCCAAGCUCAAUCUUUAUCACAUUGGACCGCAUUCGUCAAAUUCAAAAUGCUGGAAACAAAGCAAGACUUGAAGCGGCAAACUGAAUUUUUGCGGAAGCAUUCGUAAUAUACGAAUGGUUCCGAAUUCAUCCAAUUCUUCUCCUUAUGCUCCUCCCAAGCUCAAAUAAUUGAUGAAUGAUUAUACCAACCUAAGGAAAACAAAAUAAUUAGUUAAGUAUAUUAUAUUUAUUAAUUCUAUCCGUCCUCUUCAGUACCGAUCCUGUUUUAAUCCGGUGGCAAUCGCAAGCCCGACAACCGAAAGACCGUCUAUUGAAAGCCCGACGUUCAAAAU